CAUGGUAACAAGAUCAAACCAACCUUAAUAUAUAGGGAAUCCAAGGGUACAGUCAAAGGAGACACUGUCUUCCAGCAACUGGGCGAUGUGUUGGCAGAGCCUUGUCAGAUUGAACACUGGUCCUAAACUGGGAUUCAUAGGUGGUUAGAGCAGACUUCGUGUAAAAGCAUGGCUGGUGGACAAUAGAGCUGGUGGCCCUCUAGAGCCACGAGGAAGAGAACAGGUUUGGGAAAUUUCGCACAGCCAAGAGUUUGGUAGGAAUUGUUAGGAAGUCAGGCAGCAAUUCCUCCAGAUUAAUAAGAGCUUUAGCUACUCUAAGCAGUGUUAACAGCUGUUUGUGGGGCCUAGAGAGAUUGCUUAGCAAUGAAGAGUGCUUGCUGAAUUUGCAAAGCAUCUGAGUUUGGUUCCUCACUCCAACAUCCAGUAGCUCACAACUAGCUCCAGCUCCGGCUCCAGCGGCUGCCUCUGAGGGCAUAUAUAUAUAUACACAUACAUACAUAUAUAUGUAUAUAUACACACACAUACAUAUAUAUAUACAUACAUAUAUAUAUAUACAUAUAUAUAUAUGGUCUAUGUUUUCAGAAAGUAUAGAGACAAAGGUUCUUGGGGGAAAGUGCUCUUGUGUGUGUGUGAGAUGUGUUUGUGUAACAGGUUCCGUGUUGCUCAAACUGACAUUGUACUUGCAUUAUUGAGUGCCUGGUGUGGUGGUUUGAAUAGGAAUGCCACCCCCUCCCUCCGACUUGUGGAUUUUAAAACCUGGUCACCAGGGCAUGCCACCAUUUGAAAGGAUUAGGAGAUGUUGGAGGAAGUGUGUCAAUGGAGGUAGGUUCUGAGGGCUCAAGGACCCAAGUUAGGCCCAGCAUCUUUCUCUUCCUACUGCCUGUGGAUCUGGCUGUAGAACUCUGAGGGUCUUCUCUAGCACUGCGGCUGCUUAUAUGUCACCACACUACCUCCUAUGACCACAAUGGACUACACCUCUGAAACUGUUGCCUUGUGGGACUGAGCAACUGCUAGAUCCUUGGACUUCCAUUCACAGCUGCUGCUGACCAUUGUUGGGAGUCAGACUACAGACUGGAUGCUACACACUGAGUGAAUCACUUUGCUGGUUUCAGGAGAGAUCCCAGUCAAGAGGAGUGAAUACCACUCACAGGGUCAAAGGCAAGUGACCUGCUUGGAGAAACAGUCCACCUGCCCCGAGGAGAGCAGAACACCUCCACACCUUUUUCCUCUUCAUCCAAAGACUAAAAACUAGAUCUGAGUCCCUCCCAAAGGCAAAGGAAGAUGGAAGACUAUCAAGUGGAUGAAGUUUCCCAGCCUGCAAACUCAUCACAGCCUUGGCCCAGCAUCUUACCCAUCCUCCCUCCUCCAUCAUCUGAUGUAGGACUUGCUAUAAAUUGAUGGCUCCUACCUGUCAAUGCAAGAGAAGAUAGCACCCAGUGAAGCACCUUUCCGUUUUAGUUUGACAAUAAAUCUAUUCUGUCUCC
rnacentral:lncRNA from 1 species